CUUUGAAAGGAAUAGGGGGCUCCUGGCCAUUUUAGUACCCUGAACAAACUACAGUUCCCAGGAUUGGGGGGGGGGAGCCAAGACUGUUUGAAGUCCACCAGUUAGUGGUGGCUGGAGACCGCUGAGACUGGUAGGUCAGAAGGUGGAGAGGUCAACAGCAGGUGGAGCCAGAGCCAAUAGCAGAAAGACCCAAGUAAUUCUAGUUUUGCCUCCAAACCUCCUACCUGCUGAAUUCUAGGAAGGCAGCACUGAGAAGGAGGAGGAGGAAGUUGGAAGGCAGUACCACUCCUUGGGCUGUAUGAAAGUAAGAACACAGGUGAGUAGGCGCUGGCCAAGGGCAAUUGCCCAAAUGGACAAGCCUCCACUGACUCUGGCCAGGGUAAUGCAAUGGCAAAAUACAAUGCAUUUCUGGGACAUUUUAUGCUUGUUUCCAGAAGGAAACAAGAAAUGGUAACUGACUAAUGUUUGGGGGUGUUAUGAAGGUGACAAUUUGUAACCAUGUUCUAGAUGGGCUACCCUGUAGGUUUACUUAUGUGUAAUCUGCACAAUGAAAAAUGCAGUUGGGAUAAGUGUCUUACCCCAGAAAACUGGAUGAAGGUUUGGCGGUUCAGAAGUGCUUUUAAUGAAACAAAUAAAUGACAAGUCAGAAGGAAGUCCUGUUGAAAUCUGUGGGGCUUACUCAAAGGUAAGUGAAUAUAAUAUUGCAACCCUAGAAAUCUAGUUAUCAUUCCUCCCUCUCUCUCCCAGCCCCACCUAAUGAACCAUUUCACUAACAACAUACCAGAAGCUUCUUCCCUCCCUUUGUCUGUUAAAUGUUCUUGGAAUAGCAAUCGAAACCCUGCUGUUUGCAGAUGGUCUUUUCUCUCUGACACAUUUAGCUUCUUCCUCCAAAACUGGGGCUAAGUUCAAGCCUGGAUUUCUCUUAAUAUCCUAUACAUUUCCCAAUAAAGUAAGUUGCUAAAAGCCAAACAAAAUUCACUCCGCAGCGCAUCAAGAGACUUCAAAGCAGGGAAGGUUCUCAGUGCGACCUGUUACUGUGUUUGCCACUGUACUUUUGCCUUCAAGUGAUGUCAGAAUAUAGUCUGGGAUUUGAGAAAAGAAUGUUAAAUGGUUCUUCAUGUCCCAAGGCGGCCUUAGGGGAGCUCUUUGACAGAAUAUGGUUUCACUAUAAACAGAGGGUCUGGAAUGUUUGGAAUGAAAAAGCCAUCAAAAGUUUGGGGAAGGCAACCCUUCCCUCCUCUUCUAACUAGAGGGAGGAUGCUGGGCGUAUGAGAGAGAGAAGGAACAACAAGACUUUUGAUUAAAAUCAAUGGCUCCCUUUAAACCCAUGUUUUACCUUCAUGGUUGGAGACAAUCUUGAUUCUGAAUACCAGUUUCUGGAAACGAUAGGAGGAGAGAACGCUUACAGGAUUCCCACAGGCGUCUGGCUGCCCACUGUGAGAACAGAAUGCUGGACCAGAUGAGCCAUGGACCUGAUCCAGCCUUACUGCAGCUGAAAAUUAAUCACACCCGCGUAGACACCCGCCUACUCUGCACUCCAACCAGCUUCAAUCCAAACUGAGGAAAAGAACAACCUAGCUGUGUUUUAAGCCAGUAAUGUGUACACAGGUUCUUCUUUCUGGGACCCAGAAAAAAACUUGAUGGAAGUGAUAUGUAUUGAUCUUUUUUAAAAAAUAAAUAAUAAUACAUAGAUCUCCCCACCCAUUACAACUGCACUAUGAAUUUGGAUUCUCAACCCAGCUUUGAUCUGAACUGAGGAAAAAGAGCAACCCAGCCGUCUUUUUAGCAGGUUAUGAUGCACACACAAAGUAUUCUUUCUCUGUGAAAAUUUUUGUCCCUGACUGGCCCCAUCUACUGGAAAUCAGAGGAAACAGCUAGUGAAGCUCUUUUGACAGUGAGCCAAUGAACUACAGUGGUACCUUGGGUUACAGAUGCUUCAGGUUACAGACGCUUCAGGUUACAGACUCCAUUAACCCAGAAAUAGUACCUCAGGUUAAGAACUUUGCUUCAGGAUGAGAACAGCAUUCGUGCUCUGGCGGCGCAGCGGCAGCAGGAGGCCCCAUUAGCUAAAGUGGUGCUUAAGGUUAAGAACAGUUUCAGGUUAAGAACGGACCUCCAGAAGGAAUUAAGUUCUUAACCCAAGGUACCACUGUACAAGGGACGCGGGUGGCGCUGUGGGUAAAACCUCAGCGCCUAGGGCUUGUCGAUCGCAUGGUCGGCGGUUCGAAUCCCCGCGGCGGGGUGAGCUCCCGUCGUUCGGUCCCAGCUCCUGCCCACCUAGCAGUUCGAAAGCACCCCUGGGUGCAAGUAGAUAAAUAGGUACCGCUUUAUAGCGGGAAGGUAAACGGUGUUUCCGUGUGCUGCGCUGGUGCUGGCUCGCCAGAGCAGCUUCGUCAUGCUGGCCACAUGACCCGGAAGUGUCUGCGGACAGCACUGGCCCCCGGCCUCUUAAGUGAGAUGGGCGCGCAACCCUAGAGUUGGACACGACUGGCCCGUACGGGCAGGGGUACCUUUACCUUUUACCUUUACCACUGUACAAGGAUGAAGUGAGAGGUGGUGGGCAGGCAAACCCACAGUCCAGCCCCUUAUAGUAAAGAUUAUAAAAGCCCCCCCUCCCCCAAAGAUGAAGCAUUUCUGGAAAGGGGACUCAUUUGCAGGGAGCUUGCCUUGGCCACGAAAACCUGAACCCGCCACUGCCAGAGACAGAGCCUCCCCUCCUCUUUUCCCAGGGCCGCAGGAGGGUUACUACGUUCUUUAAGAAAUACACUGUUUUUUUUCAAUUAAAAUGGCCAUGAUGUGCCCCUGACAAAGCCUACUGCCUUUAUGCGCUGCAAUGGAGCUGGGCUUUGAUGCACCCAUAUGUGCUUUUAUCCCACAGUAUGUAGUGGUGUCUUAACCCUAAGUAUGGGACUUCACCGCAAGAGUUCUUGAUGGGGAAGCCUUUUCAAAACUAAAGUAAAAUCAGUCCAAAAGUGAAGUAAUUCAGAUCUUUUAAAUCAGUUGUUUCCUCCUCCUAUUGGUGACCAUGCCUUCAACUGCACCAGGAUUUUCCAGAUCUUACCCAGUGCGGGCAUUAAUAUGUAUCUUAAUGCCAUGGCAGCAAACCACACUUUUUGUCCGGUUUGCAGGCAACCCUACAGGUGACAGAAAAUGCAUGGAGGAUUGGUGGAGGGAGAGAUGGCUCUGAAAAGUUUGCUCACAUUCAAGGUAUCAACAGAGCACCAGUUCUCUCCUUACAGAACAUUAGAUGUUAUAAAGCUAGGUAGCUUUAUUUGGAGGAUUUUACAGAGCAGUGUUUGGGGGAGAAUUGAAAGCUCAUGUAAAUCAAGGUUACCAAAUUUUUUUCAAUGAAUCCGGGGACACUUUUCAACUGCAAUUGAUUUUGUAUGGGGAAACGGGGACGUCUGGUAACCUUAAUGUAAAUACAAUUUCCGGAGGGCUAGGUGUGUUAGUCUCUUACAGCAAAAGCAACGAAGACUUCAGGCACAAAGCAACAAAAUCAUUAUGGCAUCAGCUUUCUUCGACAGCAGUCUACAUCAUCAGAUGGACAGCCAUAGCCUAGCAUUUGCUUCUGCAUGCAAAAGGUCCCAGUUUUUAAUAUUUGGUAUCUCCAAGCAGGCCUGGAAAUAUCUGCGGUCAGUAGAAAAUCCUGACCUAGAUGGACUCAAUAUAAGGCAGUUUCCACCGUUCCUAAAAAAAUAGAAAAUGUGGGUCUUUUAAGACGCCAAAAGGUUGUUGUUGCUUUAACAUAAAUACAGGUGCAGACCCCCGACUACAUCAGAAGUUCAGGUUAUACAGCCAUUUGCUUCCUGGGCCAUAAAAUGCACCAUUCUAGUGAUUUAUAGGUCCGUAUAGUAAAAGCUAUGGUUUUCCCAGUAGUGAUGUAUGGAAGUGAGAGCUGGAUCGCCAAAGAAUUGAUCCUUUUGAAUUAUGGUGCUGGAGGAGACUCUUGAGAGUCCCAUGGACUGCAAGAAGAUAAAACCUCUCCAUUCUUAAGGAAAUCAGCCCUGAGUGCUCACUGGAAGGACAGAUCCUGAAGCUGAGGCUCCAAUACUUUGGCCACCUCAUGAGAAGAGAAGACUCUCUGUAAAAGACCCUGAUGUUGGGAAAGACAGAGGGCAGAAGGAGAAGGGGACGACAGAGGACAAGAUGGUCGGACAGUGUUCUCGAAGCUACCAGCAUGAGUUUGACUAAAUUGCGGGAGGCAGUGGAAGACAGAAGUGCCUGGCGUGCUCUGGUCCAGGGGGUCACGAAGAGUAGGACACGACUAAACGACUAAACAACAACAAGUGAUUUGGACCUCUGGUGUGUUGAAUGGGGGCAAAUGCCCCAGGCCUCAGACAUGGAGGGGCCCGCACCUUGAGAAAAACAACACUCUCAAAUGAAAGGGGGUCCUCAGCUGACCAUUCAGCCCCUGGGCUUCACUGAGUCUUAAAAUAAGUUGUGCCUGUGAGUCAUAAAAUGGGUCAUAAAACCAUUUGGCUGCAGGCAAUCUUAGACCUGGGUAGUGUCUCAGCAGUACGUGCUGACCUAGUGACUCCAAAUUCCUGAAGUGAGGAUUCUCAGCAAACGGCUCGCCCCCAGGCCCACACCAACCAGAAGCAAUCAGAAAGGUUAUACUGCUCAAUGGCCCCAGUGGAUCCACAUCAUGCAUUUAAAGUGCAUUCUAUGCACAUAAAAUCUCCCCAAAGAAAGCUGGGAAUUGUAGUUUCCUCCUCGCAGGCCAAAAAUUCCCAGUACAGUGGUACCUCGGGUUACAGACGCUUCAGGUUACAGACGCUUCAGGUUACAGACUCUGCUAACCCAGAAAUAGUACCUCGGGUUAAGAACUUUGCUUCAGGAUGAGAAAAGAAAUCGCGCAGCAGCAGCGGGAGGUCCCAUUAGCUAAGGUGGUGUCUCAGGUUAAGAACAGUUUCAGGUUAAGAACGGACCUCCAGAACGAAUUAGGUUCUUAACCCGAGGUACCACUGUAUCCAUAAUGAACCAUAAUUCUUGGGGGGGGUGGGGAGAGGUCACGUUCUUUGAGUGUCCAUUGGGUGUACCUUAAAUAUUGCAGGGCGACAUGUUGAUAUUAGAACACAAGGCACGUGGCUCUUGCUUUUGCCCUGCUCUCUCUCAAGCAGCAAAGACAGCAAAACGUAGCACAAAACUCUUUUAAGCCAGCCUUUCCCCAUUCUGGUGCACUUCAGUAGUCCUUGGAUGACAUAAGAGCAUACCUUUGGGAACAGGCGAAUGGUCCAUAUCCUGUCCUCACAAUAGCUUUUGAUAGCCCUCUCCUCUGUGAUUUUGUCCAAUCCUCUCUUAAAGCUAUCCAAGUUAGUAGUUAUCGCUGCCUCCUGUGGCAGUGAGUUCCAUAGCUUAAUUAUGCGCUGUGUGAAGUGAAAUGCUUCUCUUCUGCAGGUGAAAUGGGGUGUUGGGACUGAGCUCAAUGAGGUUAGUGCGCAUCUGUGAGAUGUGCCCUUCAAGCAUUCACACUAAGCGAAAACAAAAAAAUGGAUUCCCACCCGCCCAGCACUGUGUGAUGAAGUUUGACAAGUUCCUGAUCAUUGUCCGUAGUUGGCAGGGACUGAUGGGAUUCAAAACAUCUCAUUCCCUCAGUGCUUUUUAAGCAACCUUUUUUUUGGGGUGGCGGCAUUUUAGCUGUUGCUAUUGUCAAGACAACUGGGAACCAGAAGGCAGGAUGAUCUACUGCAAAUAAUCUCAGUGUAUCCCCUGCCUGACCCUGCCUUACACAGCUGUUUGGAGUGGAACAUAUCGCCUCCUCCAACUGGAACCAGAAUUGUGUAGAUGUUGCAACUGUCAGAUCGUUCUGGCAGAGAUGCCCUUUUGCAAGCUUUAUUUUUUUAUUAAAUCAGUGCUCUCUGAACCAAGCAUUUGUGAUCAAAAGUAUUUGGUGGUAGGUGCUUCCAUCGAGUGGUGAAAGAAUGAGCUGCACCUUUACAAAUAUUACGCCUUUUCUAACAGGAAGGCUACACUGUCUGCUCAACUCUCCGUUUUAGAUUUUAAACUAGUAGAAAGAAUUUCCCCCUGGAUUUUAACGUGAUUCCCCCCCCAAAAAAUUUAAAAGUGUACUUCUUCUCUUGAGAAAAUAAAAAGUGGCGUGUUCCUGCUUAAACACAACUUUCACCAGUGUCUGCUAUAUAUCUUUUUCUCCUGUUAAACCUCUUGACGCUAAAUUUUAUCUGUAAGCCACCUUGAGUCCCUGUCAGGGGAAAAGGCAGGAUACACACAAACACAUUUAAUCUAGAGGACACCAAGUUGCCAAAGAUUAGGAUAAAAUAUAGAAACGGCCAUUUUUACUGUGCUCUUAAUUAAGGAGAAAUGAGUCUAAUCCUGAAUAAUGUAGCAUCAGUGGGGAAGAACUGACAAAAGACACCUCCUAACUCCCAAUACAACUAAGAAAAAAACCAUUUGCUUCCCUGUUUCGAUCGAUUCCGCUCCAAACUCUACCCAUUUCACAGAUUGUUCUUUUGUGCUACAAUUGGUGAAACGUCCAUAAGUAAACAAACAUAGCAAGGCCGGGGUGGGGGGUGGGGAGUUAUCAAGAUUCCUUUCCUUUAGCUUCUUGUCUCUGUCGCUCUCAGCCUCUGUUAACAGAAACUACGUUUGCAAUUUUGUCAAUUUGCUCAGUGACUCAUCUACCCACCUUCUCCGACAACAAAGCAAAAAAUGCCCACGUACAGAAUCAUUCGGCGCAUCUUCCAUCUCUGCAUCGAUCCUUGCAAAGGCAGCCUCCCCUGCUGUGUGUCUCUGUUAGGCCUCUCCAACUAUUAUCUUUCUUUCAGAGGAAUCAAUCUAUACAAUUAUUAUUGUCUUGAUAUAAACAUUCAAGCUUUCAGUUGGGGGCUGGGGGGGAGAAAACUGCAAUCCUUUCCUUCUUCGCUUUGUCUGCCAUCAUUGAGUUUUUAGUACUUCCACAACUCCAGGAGUACCCUUUCUCAGGCCCCAGUCUUGUAAACGCCCUUCCUAGGACAGGCAAAAAGUGAGCAGAGAAAUGGAGGAAACUCUUGCCUGCUCUGCUAGUCGUCUCUCCAUUCUCAGAGUGAAUUAACAGUCAAUUAAUCAGUCAAUUUACAGGGGGCUCUGUGAAUGGUAGCUCUGUAUGGGGAACAAGGGUCUCCUAACAACUCUCAGCAGCCCCCUUAACAAACUAUACUUCCCAUGAUGCUUUGGGGGAGGAAGCCAUGACUAUUUAAAGUGGUAUCAUAGUGCUUUAAAUGUGUGGUGUGAAUGUGGCCCAAGCCGAGCGCCCUGCUUUCAUGGUGGCCAAUCAGAUGCCUACGAGAGUCAUGUGGGCGGGACAUGAGCAACUCUCCCACACAUGAAUCCCAGUGCUGGAGGAAUCGCAUCUAGCCAUAUGGGUUUUCUGCGGACUGCCAUUCAGCAGUAAAACGUGGAUAUUCCUGGGUUAAAGCGCCAGGACAACAGCAACAACAAACCAGGACACGGAUCUGGAAAAUGCGGACUUGUGCCUAGAAACUGCAAAGCAAAUGUAAGUAUGGAUGAGCCCUUUGCAGAUGGCACCAAACUGGGAUGGGUAGCUAAUGCCACAGAAGACAGAAUCUGGAUUCAAGAUGAUCUUAACGGAUUGGAGGACUGGGAUCCAAACUAGCAAAAUGAAUUUCAAUAGGGAGCUUCUACAUCUAGGCAGAAAGAACUACCUGUCAUGGAUGCUUGAGAUGAGAUUCCUGCGUUGCAGAGGGUUGGACUACAUGACCCUUGGGGUCCCUUCCAACUCUACAAUUCCAAUCCCCUUUUAACACUAUCCGGUUCAGCAGCCACCCCUACACCUUACAAUAGCAGAUUCCACCACUUUUGCAUGCGAGGGAACCCUCCCCAUGGUGUCACACAAAUCACCGUAGCCCACUGUUCUCAGGCUAAACAGAGGUUCACUUCACAGGUUAUAAAAUAGGGCAACCGGCAACUUUUUCUUUUCAUCCUCAGGUCAUAAAAUGCCUUGUGAUACCUGCGUGCCCUGGACAGCCUGCCAAGGACUUCCACGAGCCCUCUUCCAGUUUCAUCAGGUCAAGGUCCCUAGAAACUUGCCAAAUAACUUCUCGCACC